rnacentral:lncRNA from 1 species
UUCAGGCCCACUUCAUUCACCCAUUGUUCACACAUAUUGGUCAAAAAGGAAGCUACUAGAACUUACGUGCCUCUUACGUUGCCACUCUUCUCGAUUCCUAUAAAUACCUAAGCAGACCAACAUUCUCUACACAGACCAUCGAUUGAUUCUACAACACACACGGCUUCUCUAACUAGCUCUCUAUAUCUAAAAACCUUUCACAAAGAAACGAUUUUUUAGUGGCUAUAUAAGAUACAUAGCUUGGUUCCUAUAUAACUUAGUAGUUGUGAAUAUGGGAAGCCUCAAGUUCUUAAGCGCUGCCUUCUUGGUUUUAAUAGUUUUUGACGUCUGUUUAGCAGCUCGAUCACCAAAAGCNNN